rnacentral:misc_RNA from 1 species
GAUUAAGGCUUAGUUGUUGUUAUUAUUGGGUCAUUAGACCUUUUUCACUUUUAUUAAGUUGAAAGGACAAGAAGCAAGAACUCCCAUUGCCUACAUAUAAUUUUCCAUAGAAAGACUUCAAAACCUUUCUACACAAGGGGAUCAUAUUUGAGACCAGAGAAUUAUCCCAAACACUGGCAGUAAAUUGUAGCUUUUCAAGCUCUGAAUAACUAGAUGCAUGCAAAAUAUUUUCUAAAAGCACACUAGCAGAAUAAAAGAACAAUCUCUUUUCUCCAAAAUUUAAGAA